UAAGGAAUAUUGGUCAAUGGACGCAAGUCUGAACCAGCCAUGCCGCGUGGAGGAUUAAGGCCCUCUGGGUUGUAAACUCCUUUUAUCUGGGAAGAAAUGUACUUUUUCUUGAGUACUUGACGGUACCAGAGGAAUAAGCACCGGCUAACUCCGUGCCAGCAGCCGCGGUAAUACGGAGGGUGCAAGCGUUAUCCGGAUUCACUGGGUUUAAAGGGUGCGUAGGUGGGCAGGUAAGUCAGUGGUGAAAUCUCCGGGCUUAACCCGGAAACUGCCGUUGAUACUAUUUGUCUUGAAUAUUGUGGAGGUAAGCGGAAUAUGUCAUGUAGCGGUGAAAUGCUUAGAUAUGACAUGGAACACCAAUUGCGAAGGCAGCUUACUACACAAUCAUUGACGCUGAGGCACGAAAGCGUGGGGAUCAAACA
rnacentral:rRNA from 1 species